AGGCGUGGUGGCGCGCGCCUGUAGUCCCAGCUACUCGGGAGGCUGAGGUGGGAAGAUCGCUUGAGUCCAGGAGUUCUCGGCUGCAGUGCGCUAUGCCGAUCGGGUGUCUGCACUAAGUUCGGCAUCAAUAUGGUAGAUCAGAAGAGAG